GGGCGCUUAGCUCAGUUGGCUAGAGCAUCUCGUUUACACCGAGAGGGUCGGGGGUUCGAGUCCCUCAGCGCCCACUA
rnacentral:tRNA from 1 species